AAAGGCAAUCCCAGCCCAGACACGUGGGUUGGAGCAGCGUCGCGUUUCUGGGCAAUUGCUCCUGAGACCCAACAGGCAGCAACGGUCCCAAGGUCUUUCUGCCCCCGAUAACAGAAAAUCUCUUUUUCGUCUUAAAAAAAAAAAAAAAAAAAAAAAAAGCCUGUGGAAGACUCAGCAGAACCCAGGAAGCGCAGAAUUGGGAGAAAAGUCUUUGGCUGGGGCUGUUUCAAGUCUCUGGUUCAAUGGGCUGCUCGAAGCCAGGACUGGGUAAUUCUUUCCAGACGUCUUGACUUCUCCUUCCCCGCCGUUGUUGCCCUUCUGCCUCCUCCAACUUAAGGGGGUCUUAACAAGAUCUUCUGAGGGGUGGACUUCUUUGGAACUCGACAGGACCUUGAAGACUGGGUUCUUAGUCCUUAUCACAUAUAUGGGCUAUAAUGAAUAAGUCUAAACAGAAAAGUCGAAUAAACUGGAAAUGAUGCUUUCAUCACGUCGCACAAGAAAAACACAUUUGUUGUUUCUCGCCUCUUGUAAUUCAUGACCCAUAAGACAAAAGUAAAAUGUUCUCUGACUGCAAAUG
ensembl:lncRNA HAS2-AS1 HAS2 antisense RNA 1